rnacentral:misc_RNA from 1 species
GAAUUUUAAUUUAAUUCGUACUUAAAGAAGGGACUUUGCUGUAGUUGAAUUUUUAAACAGUGCAACGCUUAAGAAAACAACCUAUUUUGCUUGAAUCUGUCGUAGCCAAUCAUUAAAACCCCAUUAACCAUUAACCAUUGAGAACCACAAAAAAAGCAUUAUGGAAAUCCAACAAUUGGAAAUAUUGUGCAAGCAGCUGUAUGAAGCGACAGAUGCAAACAUACGUGCUGAUGCUGAAAAGAGACUGGCGAUAUUUGUUAAUAGCAACGAUGCUUUACCAAAAUGCCAGUUACUGCUAGAUCGAGCUGAUUCCAGUUAUGCACAACUUCUUGCAGCUUCUACCCUCACAAAACUCAUUCAAGGUAUAACUCUCGGACAACGCAUUGAUAUUCGCAGCUAUGCCCUCAACUAUUUGGCAACCAGACUUAAUUUGCAACACUUUGUAGUACAAGCACUUGUAACACUUUUAGCAAAAAUUACAAAAUAUGGAUGGUUCGAUUCAUGCAAGGGAGAAUUCAUCUUUCAAAACAUACUUGAGGACGUAAAAAAGUUUUUACAGGGCUCGGUUGAGCAUUGUACUAUUGGCGUACAAAUUCUGUCGCAGUUGGUAACAGAAAUGAAUUCAAUUGUGGAGCUAGAUGCACACUUGUCAUUCUCUAAAAACCGUAAGAUAGCUACAUCUUACCGAGAUCACCAACUGUACGAUACGUUUCUACUUUCCUGUUCCCUUUUGAUAAAUGCUCGAGAUAAUAGCAAGAACUUAAACUUUCUGGACGAGUCGCAACAGGCGCUAAUAACACAAGUCUUGCGGCUUACAAAGAACUGUCUUAGCUUCGACUUUAUUGGUAGUUCCACCGACGAGUCAGCAGAUGAUAUGAACAAUGUCCAGAUACCAACAGCUUGGCGUCCUGCAUUUCUUGAUGCAAACACAUUAAAAUUAUUUUUUGACUUAUAUCAAAUAUUACCAAAUGGCUUAGCCAGUUAUUCACUGUCGUGCCUAGUACAAAUGACAUCCGUACGUCGAUCUUUAUUUAGUAACUCAGAAAGAACGAAAUUUCUCACAAAUUUGGUAGAAGGUGUCAAAAAUAUUCUCAAAAAUUUGCAUGGUCUAAGCGAUCCAGAUAAUUAUCAUGAAUUUUGUCGAUUGCUAGCACGUUUGAAGUCCAAUUACCAACUUGGAGAGCUCAUAGCCGUUCCUUGUUACCCCGAAGCCAUAGAAUUGAUAGCAAAGUUUACCGUACAAUCAUUACAUAUGUGGCUCUUUGCUCCAAAUAGUGUGCACUAUUUACUUACCUUAUGGCAGCGUAUGGUCGCAUCAGUACCGUAUGUGAAAUCGCCGGAUCCGCACUUACUUGGCACGUACACACCUGAAGUUAUUAAGGCGUAUAUAGAGUCUCGUCUAGAUGCUGUGACGUUGAUUGUACGUGAUAAUAUGGAGGAUCCAUUAGACGAUCUUUGUAUGGUGCAACAACAACUUGAGCAGUUAUCGGUAAUCGAGCGCUGCGAAUAUAAUAAAACUUGCAAUCUUCUUGUACAGCAUUUCGACCAAAAGGCCCGAGAAUACGAAAAUCUCUUGCAGACACAUAAUUCAAGCCCCAUAGAUAUUACGGUUCAUGAGUUACAGCUGACAUGGUUGGUUUACAUAAUUGGUUCGGCUAUUGUUGGAAGACUUUCUGUUACUACCAGUGAUGAGCACGAUAAUAUGGAUGCAGAGCUUGUUAUUCGUGUAUUGCAGCUAAUGAGUUUAACUGACUCACGUCUACCUCAAACUGGUUGCGAAAAGCUAGAACUGGCCAUUUUAAGCUUUUUAGACCAAGUUCGUAAAAUGCAUAGCAGUGAUCAGGCUCAAAAGGCAACUGUUUAUAAACGACUCAACGAAGUCUUUGGACUAAAUGAUGAGCAAAUGUUGCUUAGUUUUAUUAACCGCAAAAUUAUUACAAAUCUUAAAUUUUGGGGCCGCUCUGAGCAAAUAAUUACAAAAACUUUAGUUUUAUUAUCCGAUCUCUCUGUGCAUUUUAAUUCAGUGCGAAAAUUAGCGCGUCUAGAAGAAGUACAGUUUAUGUUAACACAUCACACAAGCGAACACUUUCCUUUUCUUGGUACGAGCUCUUCCCUGAACGAAAUGCGUUGCCGUACAAUGUUUUAUACAUCUCUAAGUAGGUUACUAAUGUUUGAUUUGGGAGAAGAUGAAGAACGUUUCUAUAAUUUUCUUACUCCGCUUACAAAUCAGUUUGAAUCACUUGGAAAUGUGUUAAUGGAUACAAAAUGCUUUCCUAAUGAAGAGGUCAAAAAGGCAAUUAUUGGGCUAGCUCGGGACCUACGCGGCCUAGCAUUACCGCUUAAUGCUCGCAUUCAAUAUACAAUGCUUUUUGAAUGGCUUUAUUAUACGGAUUACUUACCUAUACUGCUUCGUGCAGUUGAAUUGUGGGCUCAUGAACCUGCCAUUACUACGCCUGUGUUAAAGCUAUUUGCUGAAUUAGUGCAUUGUCGAACCCAGCGUCUAGCAGGAAAUGUGUCUAGCCCUAUGGGAAUUUUACUUUUUCGUGAGGCUUCAAAACUUAUUUGCAUAUAUGGCAAUCGUAUUUUACAUCUAGAAGUAACAACUGAUCAACUUUACCCGAUGAAAUUGAAGGGGAUAUCAAUAUGCUUCUUAAUCUUAAAAAAUGCGCUUGGAGGGAACUAUGUGAACUGUGGCGUGUUUAAAUUAUACGGUGAUGAUACAUUACAUAACGUACUUGAUAUCAUUGCCCAACUUAUUCUCUCUAUACGACAAAGUGAUUUAUUGAUUCGGCAAUUUACAUAAGCUGCUGUACAAUUUUGGACAGUAUUGUUUCGUACAUAUUUAAGCAGCUACAAUUAAAAACUUCAACAUUCCCAAAUAAAAAGCUACGAAGUUUGUCACGAGAAAACACUCAAUUUCUUAAGGU